UCUGGGAGAAGGGAACUAGAA
rnacentral:misc_RNA from 1 species